rnacentral:rRNA from 1 species
UACGAAGGGUGCAAGCGUUAAUCGGAAUUACUGGGCGUAAAGCGCGCGUAGGCGGUUUGGUAAGUGUGAUGUGAAAGCCCCGGGCUCAACCUGGGAACUGCCUCACAUACUGCCAGGCUAGAGUACGGGAGAGGGGGGUAGAAUUCCACGUGUAGCGGUGAAAUGCGUAGAGAUGUGGAGGAAUACCGGUGGCGAAGGCGGCCCCCUGGAUCGAUACUGACGCUGAGGUGCGAAAGCGUGGGGAGCAAAC